GCGCCGAUAGCUCAGUUGGGAGAGCGUUAGACUGAAGAUCUAAAGGUCCCUGGUUCGAUCCCGGGUCGGCGCG
rfam:Eimeria necatrix Houghton genomic scaffold, Enh_scaff84